rnacentral:rRNA from 1 species
UACGAACUGUGCAAACGUUAUUCGGAAUCACUGGGCUUACAGGGUGCGUAGGCGGCCUGACAAGUAGGGUGUGAAAGCCCCCGGCUCAACCGGGGAAUGGCGCCCUAAACUGUCGGGCUGGAGUGAGAUAGGGGUGUGCGGAACUUCCGGUGGAGCGGUGAAAUGUGUUGAUAUCGGAAGGAACGCCGGUGGCGAAAGCGGCACACUGGAUCUCAACUGACGCUGAGGCACGAAAGCGUGGGGAGCGAACAGG